UGGGGAAUUUUGGACAAUGGGGGAAACCCUGAUCCAGCCAUCCCGCGUGUGCGAUGAAGGCCUUCGGGUUGUAAAGCACUUUUGGCAGGAAAGAAACGUCAUGGGUUAAUACCCCGUGCAACUGACGGUACCUGCAGAAUAAGCACCGGCUAACUACGUGCCAGCAGCCGCGGUAAUACGUAGGGUGCAAGCGUUAAUCGGAAUUACUGGGCGUAAAGCGUGCGCAGGCGGUUCGGAAAGAAAGAGGUGAAAUCCCAGAGCUCAACUUUGGAACUGCAUUUUUAACUACCGGGCUAGAGUGUGUCAGAGGGAGGUGGAAUUCCGCGUGUAGCAGUGAAAUGCGUAGAUAUGCGGAGGAACACCGAUGGCGAAGGCAGCCUCCUGGGAUAACACUGACGCUCAUGCACGAAAGCGUGGGGAGCAAACAGG
rnacentral:rRNA from 1 species